GCUGGAGUAGCUCAGUUGGUUGAGCGUGAGGCCCUUAACCUCAGCGUCAUGGGUUCGAGCCCCAUGUUGGGCA